rnacentral:ncRNA from 1 species
UAUCUUCGGGGCAGGGUGAAAUUCCCGACCGGCGGUGAUAAGUAUUGAAUACUUUAAGCCCGCGAGCCUAAAAGUGGAGUGCAAUUAGCAUGAAGCGUUUGUAUUGGGCAGGAUUUGGUGAGAAUCCAAAGCCGACAGUAAAGUCUGGAUGGGAGAAGAUG